UACGGAGGGUGCAAGCGUUAAUCGGAAUUACUGGGCGUAAAGCGUACGUAGGCGGCUUGUUAAGCAAGAUGUGAAAUCCCCGGGCUCAACCUGGGAAUGGCAUUUUGAACUGGCAGGCUCGAGUUCUGAAGAGGGUGGUAGAAUUUCCAGUGUAGCGGUGAAAUGCGUAGAUAUUGGAAGGAACACCAGUAGCGAAGGCGGCCAUCUGGCUGAUAACUGACGCUGAGGUGCGAGAGCGUGGGGAGCAAACAGG
rnacentral:rRNA from 1 species